GGUCCUAUAGCUCAGUUGGUUAGAGCACCCGACUCAUAAUCGGUAGGUCCUUGGUUCAAGCCCAAGUGGGACCAC
rnacentral:tRNA from 1 species